rnacentral:rRNA from 1 species
UUAAACGUCCAUACCACGUUUAAUUCACCGGUUUUCGUUCGAUCACCGAAGUUAACCGAAGUUAAGCAACUUCGGGCGCGAUCAGUACUUGAAUGGGUGACCGUCUGGGAACACCGCGUGACGUUGGCU